UCAGACGAUGCGUCAUGCAUAUCAAUAAGCGGAGGAAAAGAAACUAACAAGGAUUCCCCUAGUAACGGCGAGUGAAGCGGGAAGAGCUCAAAUUUGAAAUCUUAAAGGUUUUCCCUUGACGAAUUGUAGUUUAAAGAAGUGUUUUCUGCUGAAGUUUUGGUAAAAGUUCUUUGGAAUAGGACAUCAUAGAGGGUGAGAAUCCCGUAUUUGACCAUUAUUUUCAGCUUUGUGAUACACUUUCAAAGAGUCGGAUUGUUUGGGAAUGCAGUCCAAAAUGGGUGGUAAAUUUCAUCUAAAGCUAAAUAUUGGCGAGAGACCGAUAGCGAACAAGUACCGUGAGGGAAAGAUGAAAAGAACUUUGAAAAGAGAGUUAAACAGUACGUGAAAUUGUCAAAAGGGAAGCGUUUGACACCAGUGUUGUUUUCUCGAAAAUCAAUUAAAAAUGGCUCGAUUUUGUAUUGCUGAGACCUUAAAAGUUCACUGUACAUUUUUCGUGUCUUUUUUAAUGCACUUUUCGUUUAACAAGUCAACAUCAGUUUCUUUUGUUGUAAAAGGGUCAUUGGAAGGUGGCUUUCUUUUCGGAGAAAGUGUUUAUAGCCUUUGGCCUCUGCAAUCGAAGAGACUGAGGUCUGCAGCGUAGACUCUUCGGGGUUAGAUACAUUUGUGCUAAGUUAUAGCUUUUUAUAGACAACUUGUUGACUAUAAUUAGUCUUGUAGCUUACUCGCUUAUGCUAUUUUACCUACGCUUAGGAUGUUGACGAUCAGCUGAGCGCG
rnacentral:rRNA from 1 species